rnacentral:rRNA from 1 species
GAUGAACGCUGGCGGCGUGCCUAAUACAUGCCAGUCGAGCGAACAGACGAGGAGCUUGCUCCUCUGACGUUAGCGGCGGACGGGUGAGUAACACGUGGAUAACCUACCUAUAAGACUGGGAUAACUUCGGGAAACCGGAGCUAAUACCGGAUAACAUGUUGAACCGCAUGGUUUAACAGUGAAAGACGGUCUUGCUGUCACUUAUAGAUGGAUCCGCGCCGCAUUAGCUAGUUGGUAAGGUAACGGCUUACCAAGGCAACGAUGCGUAGCCGACCUGAGAGGGUGAUCGGCCACACUGGAACUGAGACACGGUCCAGACUCCUACGGGAGGCAGCAGUAGGGAAUCUUCCGCAAUGGGCGAAAGCCUGACGGAGCAACGCCGCGUGAGUGAAGAAGGUCUUCGGAUCGUAAAACUCUGUUAUUAGGGAAGAACAAAUGUGUAAGUAACUAUGCACGUCUUGACGGUGCCUAAUCAGAAAGCCACGGCUAACUACGUG